GGGGGCGCGUGGUUUCGACAGGGGAGGGCCCACAGGAUUGCAGGCUGAGGUGCCAUCAACCUCACAAAACAGGUGGCAAGAAACAAACGAGAACGAUCUAGUUCCCGUCGCAGCCUAAAUAGGUUGUGCGUUCACCUCGAUCUCCCCCCGGUGGGUUGAGAGUGAGCGACGAAAUGCCGGGGUGCCCCGGGGUAGUUGCCGGCGAAACCCGGGAAAGAUAAGCUGGCUGGCCUGGCCGGACUCGGUCGGCGGACGGUGGUCGGGCGAGAUAUGUGGCGGCCGACUAAGCCUGUAGUAGAUUCUGGCAACCCUUUCUUGGACGGGGAGUUCGACUCUCCCCCGCCUCCACCA
rnacentral:tmRNA from 1 species